AACCUGUGUUUACUGCCUGACCAGAAGGUCCACCUCUCCCUGGGCUAAUUUAAGGGCUAACCUCUAAAGGAAGAACGUCUCCUGGAUGAAGGUUGUUUCUGGAGGAGGAGUAUUUUAUAGUUAGUGACCCUAUUGCCAUUUGGAAGAGCAAAGGGAUAUAUAUAUGCUACACUGUACAGUAGGUCCUUGGAGGCUUUCAAGGAAAAAGCCUAGAAGAUCUCUACAGCCAGCUGGCGAAGAUGGAAAGCAUCAAGUCAAUAGACUUAAAACUGGCUUGCAAUCUAGAGAUGUUUAUAGAUCUCGCUGAUGAGGAAAGGUUAUGCUAAGUGAUGCGCAAGCAAAUGCUCACCAUCCCCCAGCUGAAGCUCAGCUAGCCCUGCAAGCAGUGGAUUACAGCAGAUGAAUUUCCACUUCCUUCAAAACUCCCUUCUCUUGUUGUCACGUGGUAUGGAAUAUCUUUUUGGCCAGUUAAGUCAGCUGUUCUAAUUUUGUUCUGUGCCAGAUCCUUGGGCCCUUUGCUGUGUAUUGUCUUGGCUCUAUAAAACACCGCUUAGCAGUUAACUAUAAAUAUUCUCAUGUUAUCAGUGUUGACCUAAAACAGUCAUACCAGGCACUCUGAAGAAAAUCAUUCUAUCCCAGCUGACAGGUAGAGAUUUAAUCUUCAUGGAAACUGAAUUUCACAAAUUGAGUGUGUUCAUGUGUUGGGUUCAGGGCUGCCCAGGCCCAAGAAUUUUUCUCCACUACAGCCUACAUCUUCUUUCCUGUAGACCUUCUUGAAUGUACCAAGAUCCAUUAGAAUUAAGGAGUUAUAAAAGUUAUUUAAUGAGAGCAAAGACCAUGCAAGGAAACAAGUAUUAAUUGGCUUUUAGGGAACAAAAAAGGCUUGGAAGAAGUCUCUAACCUGCAGCUGGAACAAUUAAUAGCCAUUGGUCUUGGAAAGAAACUCCUUUUUAUUUGAAUUUGGGAAGGGACGUAUUGGUUAGAGGAGACAGAGUUCCUGUUUUUCUGCAGACAGGAGUUGUUCCGGAACAGGGUGGCAGAUCUAUCAGGUACCAAACAAACAGUUUGAUUUUUGUAAAGAGAUUGCCUGGGGAUAAAUGGUUGUUCAUACUAAAGAACCUUUCUGUGUAUUUUGAGAGAACCUACUCUGUAUCUUGUCACCCAGGCACCUGCUCUAUUCAGCAGUCAUAUUUUCCCUGGUCUUCUGCAAUCUUAGUACCUCUAGGGGCUCUUCUAGUUGUCUUUGACAUACCUCACCAAAUUCAGUUCCAGCUGGGCUUUGGUUUUCCUAACUUUCUGUGCAUGUUUGAACAGUUUCCUUGUAUUUCUCCCAGACUACUUGUCCUUGCUUCAACCUUCCAUAUUAUUACCUUGCUGUUGCUCAUAGUUAAGUAUUAUGAAACAGUGAAGUCUUUAAAAACAAUUGAAAAUGUACUACAAAAGAAGGGAGAAAGUCUUUACUGUUCUGUUGAUACUCAUCCAAAAGCAUUAAAAGUAUGUUAACUUUGUGAAGUUGUACCAUAUGCAGGAGUACAACUAUUUUCCAACUGUUACAACAUAUCUAUUCAGUAUGAGAGUAGCUUUAGGCAUGAAAUAAAACUUUGAUUGCCAUUAUUUUAAACUUAUGUGGAAGAAUGUUUAUGGUACUCCUAGAAACGUUGCAUUGAAUUGCACACAUUUCCCAGAUUUAUAUUGAUCUAAGAGAAGUCAUUAGCAAUCUGCAUUUUUGAGAUCAUUAUUGGUACAACAGGGUGGAGUGAGUCACCGAAAGCUUAGUGACAUAGAGCUGGGAAGCAAAAAAUGCGUACCAUUUGUUCAGUGUUGCAUCUGAAUUAGUAUAUUAUGAUCAGAGACUUAAAUUGCCUUUUUAUGCUUUGCUUUUCAAAAUGUGAUUUUAGUAAAAGUACUGACUGAGAAAUUUGAAAUGAUUCCUCUCUGUCCUUGAACAGACGCAACUAUUGGAAAGG